UACGUAGGGGCGAGCGUUGUCCGGAAUCAUUGGGCGUAAAGCGCGUGUAGGCGGCUCGAUAAGUCCGGUGUGAAACCUUGGGGCUCAACCCCAAGCCUGCACUGGAUACUGCCGAGCUAGAGUCCGGGAGGGGAGAGCGGAAUUCCUAGUGUAGCGGUGAAAUGCGCAGAUAUUAGGAAGAACACCGGUGGCGAAGGCGGCUCACUGGACUGGUAUUGACGCUGAGGUGCGAAAGCGUGGGGAGCAAACAGG
rnacentral:rRNA from 1 species